UCUACUCUUCAGAAACAAAGAAGAAUAACUAUCUACCUCUCUCUCUUUCUAUCUCUAUCUUUCUACUCUAUCUCUCUAUCUCUAUCUCUCUCUAUCUUUCUCCUCUGUAAGAACAAGAAGCUGAAGGUUCAUAAAAAAAACCAUGGAUUUCUACUAAAUCAACACACAAAAUUCGUUUUUGGUGAAGAUCAAGUUGCUCCUCUUGGUAUAUAAACCCUUGAAAAAAACAUCAAAGGGGAAGUGUUUGAGGAAGUGAACAGAUUUGGUUUGUUUACGGCGUAGACGAUUCGAACGUCCUCAAGUUGUGAUUGAACUGUUUUAUGGUAAAACACCAAGUGAUUUGGUCACUCACUUGGCAUGCCUCUUGAUUCGGAUCUUUUGCCAUCUUGACUUUGGAUUUGUAGUUCGUCUUGGAUUAUGGAACUUGUCCGUGUUAAGUACGAACUAGGAAGCCAUUUUUAAUAUGGUUCUUGAUUCUCUUGUCUAUUGGGUUUUGACCCUACUUGAUUUGGGGCUUCGGUCCAUCUUGAUAUCUGAUUAUGCUUAGUGUGAUGGCAUGACGUACAUAUUGGGCGAAAAAUGGAUAUUUGGUAUACUUCCUUAAAUUGAUAGUAUACACUUUCUAGACUCUUGAGCAUUGUUAUUGAUAUUUGGAAACACUUCAAAGUUUGAUAUUGAUAUGUUUGAUAUAUUUGUUCACUUGUUUUAAAUUAUGUUAAAUUGAGCUAACUAUGACUGAAAAGGGUAAUUGGAGAAUUUAA